rnacentral:rRNA from 1 species
CAGCAGCCGCGGGAAUACGAAGGGGGCUAGCGUUGCUCGGAAUCACUGGGCGUAAAGGGUGCGUAGGCGGGUCUUUAAGUCAGGGGUGAAAUCCUGGAGCUCAACUCCAGAACUGCCUUUGAUACUGAAGAUCUUGAGUUCGGGAGAGGUGAGUGGAACUGCGAGUGUAGAGGUGAAAUUCGUAGAUAUUCGCAAGAACACCAGUGGCGAAGGCGGCUCACUGGCCCGAUACUGACGCUGAGGCACGAAAGCGUGGGGAGCGAACAGGAUUAGAUACCCCCGUAGUCCCUGUCUCUUAUAC